GAUGAAGAACGCAGCGAAAUGCGAUAAGUAAUGUGAAUUGCAGAAUUCAGUGAAUCAUCGAAUCUUUGAACGCACAUUGCGCCCGCCAGUAUUCUGGCGGGCAUGCCUGUUCGAGCGUCAUUUCAACCAUCAAGCCCCCGGCUUGUGUUGGGGACCUGCGGCUGCCGCAGGCCCUGAAAACCAGUGGCGGGCUCGCUAGUCACUCCGAGCGUAGUAAUACAUCUUGCUCAGGGCGUGCUGCGGGUUCCGGCCGUUAAAAAGCCUUAUUUACCCAAGGUUGACCUCGGAUCAGGUAGGAAGACCCGCUGAACUUAAGCAUAUCAAUAAGCGGAGGA
rnacentral:misc_RNA from 1 species